UACGUAGGGGGCUAGCGUUGUCCGGAAUCACUGGGCGUAAAGGGCGCGUAGGCGGCCAUUCAAGUCGGAGGUGAAAGCCCAGGGCUCAACCCUGGAAUUGCCUUCGAUACUGUCUGGCUAGAGUCCGGAAGAGGUAAGUGGAACUGCGAGUGUAGAGGUGAAAUUCGUAGAUAUUCGCAAGAACACCAGUGGCGAAGGCGGCUUACUGGUCCGGUUCUGACGCUGAGGCGCGAAAGCGUGGGGAGCAAACAGG
rnacentral:rRNA from 1 species